UACAGAGGGGGCAAGCGUUGUUCGGAAUUACUGGGCGUAAAGGGCGCGUAGGCGGUCAGCACAAGUCAGUUGUGAAAUCUCCGGGCUUAACUCGGAAAGGUCAACUGAUACUGUGCGACUAGAGUGCAGAAGGGGCAACUGGAAUUCUCGGUGUAGCGGUGAAAUGCGUAGAUAUCGAGAGGAACACCUGCGGCGAAGGCGGGUUGCUGGGCUGACACUGACGCUGAUGCGCGAAAGCCAGGGGAGCGAACAGG
rnacentral:rRNA from 1 species